AUUUGCCAAGUUCACGGUACAAAGGGCGUGACGGAGCAAGCGGAUGGGGCUGCUCACAGAUGGCAGAGCUUCCUUCCACACUUGUGUAACUUAUCCCAGACGUUCCCGGAGAAGGGAAAGAGGGAGGGGAAAAAAAAAAAGGAGGAAAAAAAAAGGAAAAAGCAAAACCAGCUGGCUGCUUACACAAGGCAUCCGGAACGAUACUGCUGGGACUGCAACGUUUCCAUUCAGUGCAGCAGAGCAUGCUCCUGUGUAAAUAGUUUCCAUAUGUCAUCAUUACAAUAAAAAACAAAAAGGAAGAAAGAGAAGGAGCAUAAACUCUCCAGAGCCCAAACCUCUCCCUUUGCAAAACAAAUUCCCUGCUUCAGGGAAGGAAAAACUCCGAGGGCUGAGAGGGAGGGAAGCAAGGAACCAGGGAGAAACUCAAGUCUAUUUGGAUAUUCACUGAUCUUUGUUACCUGUAUUUAAUAAUUUUAAAAUCCACCUGGAAGCCUGCUAGGAGUUCAGGGAGUUACAAACCAACUCCACAGGACAGCCCCACGCAUGCCUCGGAGCUCCCCCAGGCUGGCUCUCAUCACCCUGUGCCGCAGCUGUUCUGCUUUCUAGCAAGCACAGACUUUUUAUGGCGUUACCCUGAAACAGGCUUAGAUGUUGCUAAUUAGACUCCAAAGCCACGUGUCUGUACCAGAUUAAGGGGGGGGUUCUCCUAGAAGGCUACGGAAGCCUACCUGUGAUGGCAGGACACCACAGGCUGCAGGGAAGGCAGCCCAAGGGACAGAAUUGAACAGAAACGUUCUCAUAGCUCAAUACGCCGCUCGUACAGCUCACGCAUCACGUGCAUGCUCCACGUAAGCCAGCAAAACGAACGGUGCUGGCGUUAGGGGUUGCAGACACGAGUAAUAUCUCCCUUAGAGGCAAAUAAAGGCAGGCAGAGGACACAGGACUUAGGUGCGAGGACACAACUUCGCUCACGCCGCCUUACGAGGUCAUUCCUUCUUCGUUACGUAUAACCUGGCACCAGCUUGGCCUUUUGCUUCCUUCUUGCAACCAUGUUUGUGAGAAGCGCUGUCCUGCAUUUACCCCUCUCCAGGAAGAAACAAGCCUUGGGGUUAUUAUUCCUUCCUUGGAAAGAGGCACGACCUCUGUCGAGAAGCACUUGCCAGCCACCUUGUCCCAGGGGAGCAGCGUCUCCCCGUCAGGGCUGGGUGCAGUUCCAGCAGCGCCUGCUGCUCGAGGCAAGUCAGACUUCCCCGAGCUGAGCAAAUAUUUCACACCUCCAGAUGUGCAACCUGGCCUUAAUGGCACGAGCAUCUUGGGUCUAACCCCAGCAGGGAGAGCACGAAGCAGUCUACGUCGCAUUUUCUCACUGCGGCGCUCGGCCAUUUGACCGGUGCCCUUUCUUUCCAGGCUCUGCCACACCACCUCUGUUUCUUACGCCACCCACCUCAACUGCAUUCAUGUCCGGGUACCCAAACUCAGCUGGUCGCAGGCUUUCAGCUGCAGAGGAGUGUAAGCAGGCACCCGGCAGCAUGGGGCACGUGCCCGGGGAGGAUGGAGGACGGCAUUUGGUGCCUCCAAAGGCUCCCAGAAGUGCUCCUCUCCUGGGAACCCCCCAGCAGCUGAGCCGUGCAGUGGGUGCCACUGCAGAAGAUGCAGCUGUGAAAAACCAUGGAAAGAAGGGAGAGGGCUGCCCUUCCCUGCACAAGCUCCUUCAGCCCCAAAGUCAAGAUUUUGACAGCACACAGGCCAGACAAAUCCCCACAGCAGCUGUGGCCUGGAAGCAGCCAGACCCUGAAGAGACACCGAGCACGUUGGCAUCGCAUCGGCACCGACGACGGCGUUUCCCUCUCCACGCGUUGACGUGCCACGGAGCUUCACCUUCGGCGGAUUUAUCACUCCGCUUCCCUCCGGUGCCAUGGAUAAGAAACUGCUCCUUUUAUUCUCAAGUGCCGAGGCGUGAGCACGCACGCAUUUGUCUCGUCAAGGCCAGGCUCACCUACCCAGGAGGGGAAAAAAAAAAAAAGCUGGAAGCCGCCUGGAAAGCACAGCUGGUUUGACACCGAGCCACGCAGCUCGGAGGUGAGAGACAGGCAGCAAGCUCAGCGCCCUCCAUGUGCCACUGCCAAGGGAAGUGAUGCAGGACCUAGCCUUUAGGUCUGAAAUAUCCCAGCACCCAUCCAGGGGAUGGGAUGGGGACGAUGCCAAGGGACAGGGACGAUGCCACGGGAUAGGGACGACACUUGCAGAGGCAACGGCAUCGGGGCUCUUUGUCUUGCUGCACUCUUGCAGCCUUCACCAGCUGCGAACCUCAACGAACAAAGCCACGUCGGCUUCCCAUUUAGCACAGGAAAGUUUUUCCAAAAUAUGGAUGUUGCCACUUCCUCUUAGCGGUACGAGACGAUUCGAGCCUCCCGUCUUCACUUUUAUUUGAGACUCCCGUUAGUUCCUGCAGCACGCACACGAGCUCGCAUCCCGCUGUCAUCCAGCGCGCUACAGGGAGCUGGAUCCGCAGGAAGGAUGAGCAGAUGUCCCCCAGCAUGGGGACUGCUGCAUCCUUGCUAACGUCUGCACCGCGCACACUUAAAAGCACCGAGGCACCAGCUACGCACAAUGACUGAAGAGCUAAAGCAUUGUCGGAAACUGUUUUGUCUCAGCAGAAGCAGUGCCUCCAGUCAGCUCUUGCUCCGAGCGGGUCAGAGCCCGAAUUUAGCUAGCUGCUUGUUCUGCCGCUCGCUACGCGACGCGAUGAUUCACACCGGCAUUCGCUUCCUGCACCACCCUGCUGGGGACAGAGAGACAGUCGUAAGGAAGAG